rnacentral:rRNA from 1 species
UACGUAGGUGGCGAGCGUUAUCCGGAAUGAUUGGGCGUAAAGGGUGCGUAGGCGGCCUGCUAAGUCUGGAGUGAAAAGGUACCGGCUCAACCGGUACAGGCUCUGGAAACUGGCGGGCUAGAGAGCAGGAGAGGGCGGUGGAACUCCAUGUGUAGCGGUAAAAUGCGUAGAUAUAUGGAAGAACACCAGUGGCGAAGGCG